rnacentral:siRNA from 1 species
UAUGCGGCCGUUUAAAACAUG